rnacentral:rRNA from 1 species
UCAAAUUUGAAAUCUCCGUCGCUUGCGACGGCGAAUUGUAGUUUCGAGAAGCACUUUCUAGGCGGACCCGGCCCCGUCCAAGUUGCUUGGAACAGCACGUCAUAGAGGGUGACAACCCCGUCUGUGGCGGAGCCGGCCGCUGACGAUGCGCUUUCCAAGAGUCGGGUUGUUUGGGAAUGCAGCCCAAAAUGGGUGGUAAACUCCAUCUAAAGCUAAAUACUGGCACGAGACCGAUAGCGAACAAGUACCGUGAGGGAAAGAUGAAAAGCACUUUGAAAAGAGAGUUAAAAAGUACGUGAAACCGUUAAAAGGGAAACGAAUGGGGUUAGCAAUGCGCCGCGCGAGAUUCAGCCGGACGCUCGGCCGGCCCGGCGGUCUGCGGAUCCCAAUGGACCGCGGCCGUCGGGCUCGGCCCCGUCGACCGUCGCACUUCUCGCCAGCGCGCGUCAGCGUCGGUUGGGACUGGGUCUCAAAGGCGCCGGCAAGGUAGGUCCCUGCCUCCGGGCGAGGACUGUUAUAGGCCGGCGUUGUCAUGGCCCGGACCCGACCGAGGUGCCGCGGCGCGUGCCUCUUGUGGCUGGGCUGCCGUCGUUCCGGUCGGUCGUCGACUGCGGUGGACUGCAUGCAGUGCGCCGCGACUGCUGCCGGUCGCUUCGGCGGUCAGCUCACACCACGCGCCCAGGACGCUGGCGGUCACAUGGCCUCAUCCGACCCGUCUUGAAACACGGACCAAGGAGUCUAACAUGUGCGCGAGUCUUCGAGUGAGGGAAACUCCCAGGCGCAAUGAAAGUGAAAGGUGAGAACCCCUCCCCUCACCGGUGGGGGGCGCAUCAUCGACCGACUUAUUCUACUCUUAGGAAGGUU